rnacentral:lncRNA from 1 species
CUGGGACAGAUAAUAUGUUGUAUUCAUAAAGGUUUUAAUAAUUUAUUACCAGCAGCUGUAUAAAGUUAUUCUGUCCCCAUCCACUACUCCUCUCCAAGGACGGCUGGAGGCAGCUUGAUUUCUGCUCAAGGAGUGCAAAUCAAAGGACUCCUUGAGUCCUUCUAGGUGGAGUCAUAUUUUAUUAACCAAAGAAAUGUGUUUAUUGGUGAGAAAUUAAGUGCUUCCCCUUUGCUUGGGGUUCAUAAAGAGUUCCAGAUUAAUACCCUGGAAAUUGAAGAUUGCAUUCUCCUUGGUGCUCACAGUGGAAGGAGUUAAGCACGGAUUUGCAAUUAAGCACAUACCUGAGUGAUCUCCUGAAACCCCUGUGCUACAGAGGCUCCUGUCCUUGGGUGCUCAGAAGGACAUCUGCCUGUCUGCAGUUACCCCUCUGCACAUGGGUCCACAUUCCUGCAACAGGACACUGGGUUUCUUCCAUGGAGUCUUAUUCGUGUACAGCUCUAAAGUCAAUGAUCAUCCCUAAAAGAACAGCUUUCCUAGAAGGAUGGAUGUGUGGAAGAAGAAGAAAUUUGGCUGGAAAGAUGCGGAGAGAAACAGAAAUGCCCUCCAAGUAAGCCCACAGCAGCUCUCAUUCUCAUUUUGUGUUUUAUUGUAUUUAGAGUUAUUUUCUACAGAAAUAUCACCCUGGUUCUGGAAGGAAUAGCUGGCUAUUCCUGCGGAUGGUGUGAUGUGAUGGCCUAAAAAUGCCAAGGGGGAAGUGGUUGUCCACCUUUGGUGAUCUGCAGAUGGGUUUUAGUUUCAGCACUCAUGGUUGGGUCCUGUUGGACAUUUCUGAUUGCUCUAAGGGGCAAUGAGAACAGAGAAGGGCUGGCCGAAUAAAUGGGAUCUUCUUUCCUUCUCUCUUUUGUACAAAAUUAAUGUUUUACGCACAACUAAUGAGAAGCAAGAAGGUGCAUGAGGGUCAAGGGCUCGGGCAUGGAUGAUGAGUGCACCAUGCUGAGCAUCGCUUCUGGAGAAAGAGCACUGUGUCCUCUGUUUGGUCCCACCACCAAAUCAUACCCAGUGUGAUCCAAGUUGAGGGACAGGGACGUCACCUUGAUCUCAGAUGGAUGGGACAGCCUGGAGGAGUUGGAACGGGGGAUGGUAGCUGGUGUGAAUGAGGUUCACUGGGAUCCUCUGACAACCAACAGAAGUCGGGGAGCCCGUGGAUGGGCCAGCAGCUACCAAGGGUUGGAGCACACUGUGCCUGCUGUGAUGCUGCUCCUGGCCAUGGACAACCAGGGAAGAUUUGAUGCAG